rnacentral:misc_RNA from 1 species
GUGACAUCCGCUGAGAUUUGUCACAGGCGUUCCAAUUGGAGACGAGCACCUUUGGAUAUGCCAAUGAGCAGGCCUGAUGCUGGCCAUGCGAUUCUCGGGGCAUUGGAUUGGUCAUUGAGUGCGUGGGCGGCGAGGGUUCCCGCCCGCCUCGCGCUGACGCCUCGCACACGCCAUAUUUCGCCGCCCCCAAUGGGCGUGAAUGCCGCCAUUGGGUGAAAAGCCACCCACCUGCACUUCCCUUUCACCAUUUUACAGUGAAACUUGGGCAUCAGCUGGACUUAAUUGGCUACAAUACCACUGAGUGACCCAACACUCAACACAAUACUCAACUUCAACUUCAAAGAAUGGAUGGCGGCGGGAACAUCCGACCUCGGCCUGGUGGACGGGAUGACGCCGUCGCUCGUCGUCGCAACCGAGAACCCGUUCUUCCCAGCGUCCUGCGCGUAAAGCUGCAUCUGAGCCUCCAAGUGUGCUCCGGUCAGGCGACAACCCUACGGGAAGCGACGCCACGCAUGCGUCUGAUAAAACAGAUCGAUCUCAUCAAGAGCCAUCCGAUGGACCAAACCAGAGCCUUGCGACCAGCAGGCCGUCCGACCCUACUUCAUACCUCGAGUAUAAUCUUGCCGAUCUCAGCGAGGAACAGUCCUACACCACCGCGUCGGAUGAGCCGGACUGGGUCCCGCGUCACGAGCCCAUCACUGCCGUACCCGAGGACUCUGGUGACCAGGCCGACUCUGAAUCAUCCGACACGGAACCUCAGCGGCGGGCCUGGUUCUGCAGACGUCCGGGCUGCGGCCAUCUCAAUCCGGGCAGCGUCCCGCUGUGCCAGCUCUGCAACGCGGGUCGUCUUCUGGGGCAGCCGAUGGCUGAAGAUGGGGCGGCGAGAGGCGCCCCGAUGGAGCCGCCUCACCGUGCUCGCCGGGCCAGCGGCGACCUCUGCCUGAUCUGCCGUCAGAGGCCGGCCGACCACGCCUUCCUGCACAGAGGCAGGCGUGGGAGGCAGGAGGCGUGCCGCGCCGCCUGCGGCAGCUGCGCCGAGCGCCGCCGCCGCCGCCGACAGCCGUGCCCGCACUGUCGCCAUCCCAUCCAGAUGGUCAUCACAAUAAUUCGCCACUAAGAUGCUCGCGACCGCGGUCCCCAGGUGGUCCGGAGGUGGGAGGACGGCAGCCACCGCUGCGUAGGACCCGAUUUUUCGUUGUAUUUAGCGUUGAUUCUGUUGAUCAUGUAUUCGACAUCAGCACCCGUGUCGAAGCUAUAUCAACGAGUACGAAAUGUGUAUCGUACUUACAUUUGUGAGAUCUAAAGGUCAUCGAGGGGCGCGGCAUUCCGCUUGUCAUUCCUCUGUUUGCGCGAGUUAGUGAUAGAUUUCGCGUAGCACGUGUGAAACUUUACAACCGUAAGUGAUGGUACGGACAUCGGUUGCUACCGCAUGGUUCCGUAAAGCUAGUGCGUUAGAGCUGCUCCUCUGCUUAGUAUGCUGGUAGCUUUUGUAUAUGUCGCCCUGGCGUAGUCUUGCCAGCGCCCGGCGAAAUGCCGUCCUGUGCGGUGCCUUAUCUCCGGAGGGAUUUUCGUAAAGUAUGGGUAGGACAUGGCUGGCCCGUUGGUGCAUGUUGUAUGUACGCUUGGACUGGCCAGCGCGCCUGCUGGACACGCCGACGGACGCCGCCUUCGGCAGCUCAGCGGGUUGGCCUGGCCGGCUGACCCGCGACCCUUCCCCUUCCGGAGAGAGCGUGGAUCGACCGAUGCGUCUGCCUGGUGGACGACGCGGGCCUCCGAGUGGUAUGUACGACAGCUCUCACAGGGCCGCUUCCCGGGUAAUGCUCAAUGGUACCCCAGUAUCUUUGACUGUAAGCUUGUUUGAACCGAAGUGGGCGUCAUUUUAGCCUUUUGGCGUAUUUUCCACACCUUCCCAUACAUUUAAAGUUUGACACAUUGUUAAAUGGAUUUACUCAACCACUUAAAGUAUCUAUGGUCCUAGAUAAUUUGGUCACGAAUUUAGGAGUCAUCAAUUCAGGCGUGCCUUCUAUUGAGGUGGUACUAACGCCUGCGUUUACAGGUCAUCGUGCUUUUGUGAUCCUAGUCAACAUGAUCCGUUAUCCUAGUCAUUGUUAUUUCUAGUCUGAACUCUGAUAUUACACAAGUUCUUUCAUUGUGUUGUUACUGAUUGAUUUAAAAUAUAAAAUGAAUAAUAGCUUUUUAUCGAUGAAAACAGAAAAGCUAUGUCAUUAAGCAUAUUGAAUGUACAUAUUUUACACGUCUAUAUAUUAUAUAAACCAAAUAUUGUAAACUAGUUUUUGACUACAAGGAGAUGUCUAGAGUCGAUAGAUUGUAAUAUAACAAUCUUCCAAAUCUUUCAACAAUCUUUCCAAUCUUUCUUUCUUCAACAAUCUUUCCCCACUCCAUAAUCCCACUUCUUCCUGUGAUACCUGCUCGAGCUGUGUAGAGUGUAGCUCAAUGUAACCAAAUAUGUUCUCUGGUCAGAUGUGGUCGCGUGCUGGAUUAAUGCUGACAUUGAAACUGGCGAUGCGCUGUUCUGUGAUGGUACAACUACUGUGACGUCCGUGGUCCAAUUAUACAUUGUGUAUGUGUGUGUAUGUGUCAUUAUGUAUGUGUCAGUGAAACUUGGCUGUGUUGAUAAUGAACGCUUGACUUUUUACCUUUGUAGCGUUGAAUAAUAAUUGCACUCGCGAAACUUGCGGAUGAUUGUCAUUGUGAUGCUAUGGUAUGUUGAUCUGAUGAAAAAAAUAUAUUCCUUACAGGAAUGAAAAAGAAA